GCCGGGCCGGCAAAGGCACCGGGGCCUAAGCAGACAGCACACACAGUGGCUCAGAGAGGGGACAACACAAAUCUACAAACUAGGGGUUUGGGAGGAAGCCUAAGAAACCCGGAGAUACCUUGUAAAGGUGUCCGGUGUCCUAAGGACAAUACGCUGGAGAGAGGAAUGAGCAACUCGUCGAAUGGACAGGUCAAAUGAACAGCUGAGGACCCGGACAUUCUUCAGAGAAAAAUACAGCCCGCAGAAACCCGAAGGGGCUUCAGGAGCUCAGGCAGACUUGCCCCAUCCUUCAGGGGAACAAUGGAGAACACACGGGCAAACCUGGCUUAGAAAAGGCUCUGCCGUCGGCUUCCUGUCACCGAUCCCAGACUGGCCACUGCACCUCUUUGCAGCUCCCUUUCUGCAUUUCUAAAAUAAGGACGAUACCAUCGACCGCACAGUGUUUGGAGGAGAAUUAACAAGAUAAUAUCAGGUUUCACAACCCCCUUUUGGCUUCAGCCCCUUUUGGCUCCAACUUUCAGUUAACUCCUGUGGAUCGACAGCUUGAUUUCAGCUUAGCAGUCUCGGCUUCUGCCUUCUGCCCCCACCAACCCUGCCUCCCACCUCUGCCUCUAACACACGUGAAGGUGCAUCAUAUGCUCAACCGCAGGGAUGGAAACGCAGGCCCAGAGAGGGUUUCACUUGCUGGGAUUCACACAGACCCUGGGAAGGAUGGGAAGCAGCUGGCCUUCCCUACCUCCCCCCAAGUCCAUGCUCCUGUUGUAAGCGCCCCAGACCAACCCCCAGUGUGUGCCCAGCUUCUUCUGUGAGGUCUGAUCUUCUGAUCUUUCAAGCUUUGGACAAUGGCUCCUUCUGCAAGCUUUCAAGCCUGCAAGCUAAGGACAUGAAUGAACUGAGUCAUCCCCACAGAGCUUCAUUAAUUUUAAGGCAAUUUGAGAUUUCUGAGUCAUAGGUUUCAGUCAUUUAGACUUUCCCAGCUGGUACUGUA